GCUUACGGCCAUACCAGCCUGAAUAUGCCUGAUCUCGGAAGCUAAGCAGCGUUGGGUCUGGUUAGUACUUGGAUGGGAUCCACCUGGGAAUACCAGGUGCUGUAAGCU
rnacentral:rRNA from 1 species